AAAAAAAUUAAUCUUAAUUUAAAAAUUAAUUAAUUAAUUUUAAUAUACGUGAAAAUUUUUAAAAAAUCUUUUAUUCAGUAUUUAAUUUUAAAUUAUUAAGGUAUCUUAAAUUUAGAAAUUUAAAUAUUUAUAAACAAAUGAUGUGCCAGCAGUAGCGGUUAAACAUUAUAUAAAAAUUAAUUUUAAAGAACAAAUAAAAUAUAAUAAAAAAAAUUUAUUAGUUAAAUUUAUAAGGUGAAAUUUUAAAUUUGAUUUUUUAUUUAUUUAGUACUUGAUUUUAAAAAACCUUAUUAUUAAACUAGGAUUAGAUACCCUAUUAUAAAAGAUGUAAUUUUUAAUUCUAAACUAUUAAAAUUAAUGAUUUUAAAAUUUAAAGUUUUGGCAGUAUUUUAAUCUAUUCAGAGGAACCUGUUUUUUAAUUGAUAGUCCACAUUUAAUUUUACUUAAGUUUUUAAUUUAUAUAUCAUCGUUAAAAAAAUUUUUAAAAAUAAUUUUUUUACAUUUUUAUUAAAUAAAAUUUCAGAUCAAGAUAUAGUUUAUAUUUAAGAUUUAAUGGGUUACAUUAUAUUUAUAUUUUGAAAUAUUAUUGAAAAUAUUAUUGAAACUGGAUUUGAAAGUAAUUUUUAUAAAUUUUUAAAAUAAAUUAGUUCUAAAAUAUGUACAUAUUGCCCGUCACUUUUUCUUUAAAGAAAAAUAAGUCGUAACAAAGUAGAUUAACUGGAAAGUGAAUCUAGAAUAAA
rnacentral:ncRNA from 1 species